UACGGAGGGGGGCUAGCGUUGUCCGAAGUUACUGGGCGUAAAGCGCGCGUAGGCGGGUUGGUAAGUCCGCUGUGAAAGCCCGGAGCUCAACUCCGGAGGGUCGGUGGAUACUGCCAGUCUUGAAGGUGCUAGGGGGAGAUGGAAUUACCGGUGUAGCGGUGAAAUGCGUAGAUAUCGGUAGGAACACCAGUGGCGAAGGCGGUCUCCUGGGGCAUUCUUGACGCUGAGGCGCGAAAGCUGGGGGAGCAAACGGG
rnacentral:rRNA from 1 species